CGCGGCCUAUCAGCUUGUUGGUGGGGUGAUGGCCUACCAAGGCGGUGACGGGUAGCCGGCCUGAGAGGGCGACCGGCCACACUGGGACUGAGACACGGCCCAGACUCCUACGGGAGGCAGCAGUGGGGAAUAUUGCGCAAUGGGCGGAAGCCUGACGCAGCGACGCCGCGUGGGGGAUGACGGCCUUCGGGUUGUAAACCUCUUUCGCCAGGGACGAAGAGCGAUUGACGGUACCUGGAGAAGAAGCACCGGCCAACUACGUGCCAGCAGCCGCGGUAACACGUAGGGUGCGAGCGUUGUCCGGAAUUAUUGGGCGUAAAGAGCUCGUAGGCGGUGUGUCGCGUCGGCCGUGAAAGCUUGGGGCUUAACUCUGAGCGUGCGGUCGAUACGGGCAUCACUUGAGUUCGGCAGGGGAGGCUGGAAUUCCUGGUGUAGCGGUGAAGUGCGCAGAUAUCAGGAGGAACACCAGUGGCGAAGGCGGGUCUCUGGACCGAUACUGACGCUGAGGAGCGAAAGCGUGGGGAGCGAACAGGAUUAGAUACCCUGGUAGUCCACGCCGUAAACGUUGGGCGCUAGGUGUGGGGACCAUUCCACGGUUUCUGUGCCGCAGCUUACGCAUUGAGCGCCCCGCCUGGGGAGUACGG
rnacentral:rRNA from 1 species